rnacentral:tRNA from 1 species
UUAUUAUUAUUAUCUAGUGAUUACAAACUACAUCACACAAAUUUGAAUUUUCCAUCAAACUAGAAAACAGCA